rnacentral:rRNA from 1 species
AUUGAACGCUGGCGGCAUGCCUUACACAUGCAAGUCGAACGGCAGCACGGGAGCAAUCCUGGUGGCGAGUGGCGAACGGGUGAGUAAUAUAUCGGAACGUGCCCAGUCGUGGGGGAUAACGUAGCGAAAGCUACGCUAAUACCGCAUACGAUCUAUGGAUGAAAGCGGGGGAUCGCAAGACCUCGCGCGAUUGGAGCGGCCGAUAUCAGAUUAGGUAGUUGGUGAGGUAAGGCUCACCAAGCCGACGAUCUGUAGCUGGUCUGAGAGGACGACCAGCCACACUGGGACUGAGACACGGCCCAGACUCCUACGGGAGGCAGCAGUGGGGAAUUUUUGGACAAUGGGCGCAAGCCUGAUCCAGCAAUGCCGCGUGCAGGAUGAAGGCCUCGG